GCGAGCCGGUGGGUGGGCCACGGGGAUCUCCUGGGGAAGUUCCUCCCUCGAUGCAGGAUGCACGACGCCGAGAGGCGUAACCGGAGACGGUUGGCUACGGAACAGAAACGAGACCCGUCCCGUCAAAUGCGAUGAAGGAGCGAUCCCGAGGUCGAUGGGAACGAGAUGAAACGGCCGACCCGUGCAGAGCAAGGCCGAACGUGGUCUAAGACGCGCCUGCACCAGGCCAAGGUAGGCCGCUGAGCUGAAUCCCGCCUAGAACAAAAGGAGGACUACGGCCGGCACGC
rnacentral:RNase_P_RNA from 1 species